rnacentral:misc_RNA from 1 species
UCUGUCACUUUCUUCGUUCGGAAUAAACAUCACGGCUCGAUUAUUUAUAUUUUUAUAAUAAAAUGGAAGAAAUAUGUCGAUUAUGUUGCUCUACGAAGUUCGUAAAUAACUAUAUUUUUGACGAGGAAAAUGCGUUGUAUCUCAAAAUGUCGUUGUACUUGCCGAUCAAGGUGUUCAAGAACGACCGGCUGCCGCAGAAGGUCUGCGACCGGUGCAGCUGCAAAGUGAACGAUUUCUACCAGUUCUGCAACGAAACUAUCGAGGUGCAAAACAGGUUGCGCGCUGUUCUGAUAUCAACCGCAGUUGAAAUCGAGGACUCAGUUGACCUCACGCUUAUCAAACAUGAUGCUCACUCUCCCCCGCCGCUGCCAGACAUCACGGAGCAGAAAGUUGUGCCUAAAUUGGAGCACAAUAGAAGUCAUUCCAUACAAGGUCACAAUGCAGAUGGACAACAUGAUGAAUGUGCAUGUAUGUUGCGUGCAAGACUGGAACCACAGGAGAGACCCACAUGUGAGCAAAGCACACAGACGGAGGAUAAUUGCAAUGGACCUGCACCAAAUGAAAUAACUAUAGACAUACCGUUGUAUGCAAACGUAAAAGUAAAAGAGGAACCAAAGCCGUCUCAAGCGCAGGUGAAGUUGGAGAAUGAACCGGAUAUUGAGGAUAACUUCUUCGACACGAACCAGCAGUCGGACAACAGCGAAGAUGACAUGUCUCUCAUACAGUUCCAGAAGAAGAAACGGUCCAAAAAAGAUAAGGUUCUGAAUGGCAGUACAGAUAAGAAAAAACGCAAGAAGAAUGUGAAGGAGUGGCACAUGUUGAUGAGAGAGCUGCCGGAGGGCACGGAGAUGACUGUUGUGGACGAACAGGCUGAUGUCAAGGUGAACGUGAAGCAGGAGGUGCAGGAGGGCGCCGCGGACAAGCGCGUCAAGUCGGAGCCGGCCGAGUUCCACUGCUGCAUCUGCUUCCAGCAGUGCUGCUCGCGCAACGAGAUGCUGCAGCAUUACAAGCAGCACGCGGCGACCGCCCCUCCGCCCCCGCCAGCCGCGCCGCCGCCGCCCGAGCGCGAGCCCGUCAAGUGCCCGCGCUGCCAGAAGCGGCUGGAGCGGUCGUCGUGGGCGGCCCACUGGGCGCGGCACUGGGAGCGGGACCGGCGCCCGCUGCGGUGCGCGCUCUGCGAGAAGACCUUCCGGGACCACCACCAGAUACUCAAACAUGGCCUGAGCCACAAGGCGGGCGAGGCGGGCGAGGCGGGCGCGGGCGGCGCGGGCCCGCCGGCGCCGGAGAAGCGCUUCGUGUGCGACGUGUGCCCCGAGGGCUUCGUGUUCAUGCGCCACCUGCUGGCGCACCGCGGGCGCGCGCACCCCGAGGCGGGCGCGCUCACGCUGCGCUGCGCCGCCUGCGGCCGCACCUUCGCGCACCUCAACUCGCUGCGGCGCCACCUGCGGGCGCACAGCGGCGAGCGCAACUUCCUCUGCAACAUCUGCGGCAAGGCGCUCUCCAGCCGCGAGCACCUCAAGUUCCACAUCCGCAUCCACACCGGGUACAAGCCCAACGUUUGCAAAACCUGCGGCAAGGGUUUCGUCAAAAAGUGCAACUUGACCCUCCACGAGCGCGUGCACUCGGGCGAGCGCCCGCACGUGUGCCCCCACUGCGGCAAGGCGUUCUCCCAACGCUCCACCCUCGUCAUACACGAGCGCUACCACAGCGGCGCGCGGCCCUACGUCUGCGGCCUCUGCCAGCGAGGCUUCGUCGCCAAGGGACUACUCUCCAUGCAUCUUAAGACUACUUGCAUCUAGCACAAAGUAAAUCCCAGUGAGUUAAUGGAUUUACUCAGGGACUCUAGCUGAUGAACAUUCUCGUCAAGGACACGCCGCACCUCGGUGGUCUAGUGCGGGUGUGGUGUUGGCGCAGAGUUAUAUGUAGCUGUACUAUAAGUUAACAGGUCAUCGUUGUGAAAUAGGAAGAUUUCAGCAGACACCUAUUUUUAUUUUAAGUUAUAUCUGUCACGUUCUUAUUCGCCGAAAAGGAAAGGGACGGAUGAGAUGACGACGGAAGAGAAUCAUUAUCUCCCAACAUCGCAGAACACUCGCAUUCGCAUUUGGUGUAACGGUUUACUUUGUUCAAUUUUGUAAUGCUUUGCUUCUUCACGCCUUGAUCCUUUUAGGGUAGUUUAGGAGGAAUAAGUCGUUUGAAUAGUUGAAAGUCAAAAGUCAACCCAAAAAUAUCUUUAUUCAUUGGGUAAAAUAGAUCAAUUUUACAUAAAUAUUUUUUUUUAUUGCAGCUUCUCGCAACCUGUAGCUGCAAGAAAUUAUAAAAAAAAAGGAAUACAAUUUCAAUAAUUAGAAUCAUUAACCCUGACACCUGGUUGGUGGUGGCGAGAGAACAAGGGAACACUGUCUUGUAUACCGUUAUGAACCUAUUUUAUUUUUUCUUUUCGGCAUAUUUCUUCUCUGUCUACCCUAAAAAGCAUAUAAGGCGCAAAGGUAAUUGCAUAGCUUUACUUAAAUUGGACAAUUUAUUGUUAUUGUUUCAUCUAGGUAUAAUGUUUAGUUAUUAAUCAAUUGUGUGAUAGACAAAUUUUCUCAAUUAUAAUUAUUUGUAGUCAUAAGAAGAUAAUUUGGAACCUUGUCAUAGUCAUCAGAGUUUCUUUUCAAUGAAUUCGUUUAGUUAGAUGUGUUAUGGCUUACUGUGGUAAGGUUCUAAUUAAUCAUGAGAGGAAUGAAUGAGGUUAUUUAGCCAGUGUAAGAAAUUAGUUAAGGUAAAGGGUUUAUUUACAGUUUAAAACAGGGGCGGAUUCAGGACAUUGUAUGACUUGAUGAGGUUGGUAUUCCACCUCACAACCCUCACGAUAAGAAGAAGUUCACCCUACCGUGGUAUUGCCCAGUUGGAGGAACGCUUGACUCUCACUGUAAGGUCGCAGGCUCGAAUCCAGCACGGGCAUAAACCUAUGAUUUUCGAAUUCAUGUUUGGAUCAUAUAUGAUUAUCAAGUGUUCAGUAGUGAAGGAAAACAUCGUGAGGAAACCCACAUACUCGAGAAAUGCGUUAUUACGUUUUCCCUUCGCGGGUUGGAUAGUCAGACAGGCAGUCGCUUCUGUAAAAAA